UACGGAGGGUGCAAGCGUUAUCCGGAUUCACUGGGUUUAAAGGGUGCGUAGGUGGGUCUGUAAGUCAGCGGUGAAAUCUCCGGGCUUAACCCGGAAACUGCCAUUGAUACUAUAGGUCUUGAAUUAUCUGGAGGUAAGCGGAAUAUGUCAUGUAGCGGUGAAAUGCUUAGAUAUCAUUUGGAACGCCAAUGGUGAAAACAGGUAGCUGGGAGUGUGCUGACGCUGAGACACGAAAGCCAGGGGAGCGAACGGG
rnacentral:rRNA from 1 species